AUACAUGCAAGUCGAACGGACGAAUAAGAGCUUGCUCUUAUAAGUUAGUGGCGCACAGGUGAGUAAUAUAUAGCUAAUCUGCCUCUUAGUAGAGGAUAACAGUCGGAAACGAUUGCUAAUACUCUAUACUUCUGCUUUACAUAAGUAAAGUAGAGAAAGUUUUUCGCUAAGAGAUGAGGCUAUACUGUAUCAGCUAGUUGGUAAGGUAACGGCUCACCAAGGCUAUGACGCAUAACUGGUCUGAGAGGAUGAUCAGUCACAUUGGAACUGAGACACGGUCCAAACUCCUACGGGAGGCAGCAGUAGGGAAUAUUGCGCAAUGGGGGAAACCCUGACGCAGCAACGCCGCGUGGAGGAUGACACUUUUCGGAGCGUAAACUCCUUUUAUCGGGAAAGAAUAAUGACGGUACCCGAUGAAUAAGCACCGGCUAACUCCGUGCCAGCAGCCGCGGUAAUACGGAGGGUGCAAGCGUUACUCGGAAUCACUGGGCGUAAAGGGUGCGUAGGUGGAUUAUCAAGUCUCUUGUGAAAUCUAAUAGCUUAACUAUUAAAUUGCUUGGGAAACUGAUAGUCUAGAGUAGGGGAGAGGCAGAUGGAACUCUUGGUGUAGGAGUAAAA
rnacentral:rRNA from 1 species